UACGUAGGGGUCGAGCGUUGUUCGGAAUUACUGGGCGUAAAGGGCGCGUAGGCGGCUUUGCAAGUCGGGUGUGAAAGCCCUCAGCUCAACUGAGGAAGUGCGCCCGAAACUGCAGAGCUUGAGCUACCGGAGAGGAUGGUGGAAUUCCCCAAGUAGAGGUGAAAUUCGUAGAUAUGGGGAGGAACACCGGUGGCGAAGGCGACCAUCUGGACGGAUACUGACGCUGAGACGCGAAAGCGUGGGUAGCAAACAGG
rnacentral:rRNA from 1 species